rnacentral:rRNA from 1 species
AGAGUUUGAUCAUGGCUCAGAUUGAACGCUGGCGGCAUGCCUUACACAUGCAAGUCGAACGGUAACAGGUCUUCGGAUGCUGACGAGUGGCGAACGGGUGAGUAAUACAUCGGAACGUGCCCGAUCGUGGGGGAUAACGAAGCGAAAGCUUUGCUAAUACCGCAUACGAUCUACGGAUGAAAGCAGGGGACCGCAAGGCCUUGCGCGAACGGAGCGGCCGAUGGCAGAUUAGGUAGUUGGUGGGAUACAAGCUUACCAAGCCGACGAUCUGUAGCUGGUCUGAGAGGACGACCAGCCACACUGGGACUGAGACACGGCCCAGACUCCUACGGGAGGCAGCAGUGGGGAAUUUUGGACAAUGGGCGAAAGCCUGAUCCAGCCAUGCCGCGUGCAGGAUGAAGGCCUUCGGGUUGUAAACUGCUUUUGUACGGAACGAAAAGACUCUGGUUAAUACCUGGGGUCCAUGACGGUACCGUAAGAAUAAGCACCGGCUAACUACGUGCCAGCAGCCGCGGUAAUACGUAGGGUGCAAGCGUUAAUCGGAAUUACUGGGCGUAAAGCGUGCGCAGGCGGUUAUAUAAGACAGAUGUGAAAUCCCCGGGCUCAACCUGGGAACUGCAUUUGUGACUGUAUAGCUAGAGUACGGCAGAGGGGGAUGGAAUUCCGCGUGUAGCAGUGAAAUGCGUAGAUAUGCGGAGGAACACCGAUGGCGAAGGCAAUCCCCUGGGCCUGUACUGACGCUCAUGCACGAAAGCGUGGGGAGCAAACAGGAUUAGAUACCCCGGUAGUCCAA